GUAGGGAGCUGAGGGAUGUCAGUUGAGAGAAGAAGGUCUAAGAGGGCGUCCUGUGAUUGGGAAGGACCUGGAGAAAGUAGCACUUUCCUGCAGAGAGAAAUACAAAGGGGGCAGGUCUCAGCCAUGGAAGACCUGGUAAGUGGCCGAUGGCCACCAGGAGGUACUGGAGCUGAGGAUAAGAGCAAUGUUAUGCCCUGAUACAUGGGGCUGUUUCAAAGACAGAAACAUAAAAAAGAAAUGAGAAAAGAAGAUAAAGUAUGAAGAGCUCUGCCAUGAAGUGGAACAAUUAUGGAAAACCAGAACAAACACGAUCCUGCUGAUUAUUGGAGCAUGUGGAGUGAUCCCCAAGGGUAUGAAUGAGUAGCUCAAGAAUACAUGAGGAACACAAGACGUCAUGAUGAGAGACCUCCAGAAGUCAACACUCUUAGGCACUGUGAGAAUUUUAAGAAAACUAAAAGAGGAACCUUAAAAUGAAAGAAUUUUUUGGAGAGUUACAAAACUCCUGACUACUCAACCCUACAGAGUCGAUUUGUGAUCAGGAUUUAUUGGUGACUCAUGGGGAUAAAUUUUAGACAGUAGCUUUCCUCUUUUUAUGCUAAAAGAUCAUGUCUGUAUGAAGACUAUUUGUGUGUGUGUGUAAACUAUUUCUCCAUGAUGUAAUACUGAGGGAUAACAGCUACCUUACACAAGCAGUCUAACUGAAUGCAGUGACCACACUGUCAUUAGUAAAGCGCGCAGGAUUUGGUACUUAAAGUAUACUGCAAGGAAUAACAAUAAACAAAAGUAAGGGAAAGGUGAAUAGGAGGACAGAGCAAAGAUUGUAAGUGUAUUGUUCAUGCUCAUUUUUAGGCACAAAUCUUGUUACUUUCCUUUCCCCCUGGUUUUCAUUUUUUAAUCUUUGUUAGUUUAAUAAAAAUUAGGAAGAAAGCUGGCAUAGAGGGAGGGGAUGGAGUUAGGGAAGCCUAAUAAGAAGAAUGAGUUCUGAGGAGACAUUUGAAGGGGGUAGUGAGAUGGCAUUGCACACAGGGUCAGGGAAGAGAUACAAGAGAGAAAAUAUCUUGCUGUUAAAUCAGUGCCAAAAGAUGAUACUAUCCAAGGAGUGAAAGCAACCUAGUCGGCUCCAUAACAGUCUGUUUUUAACAUAACCCUACAGGCAGUACUAACCCCCCACUUUCUUCCUCCCAGACCCUGCACACACCCUCAGCAGUCAGUAUUGAAAACAACUACAUUGCUACCAGUGAAUCCAUACAAAGGACCAGCCACAGGCCUUGAUGCCACUGCUGGAAGAAUAUAUAUUUCAACAUUUGACAUCUUGCUCUAGCAGCUGCCAAGUUUGGCUAUAGCUAUUGACCUGAUUGCUCAAGGACAUAGAGGAGGAAGAAAAAGGGCAAUGUAAGCAAGUGACAGUAAGAGAUUCAUGUAUCAAAAGCAUCCCUGUAAACAUGAGUCUAUAACUGGGAGAUAGGCUGUUAUUUUGGAAAGUAAAAAUUGUAUAAAUAUAAAACUGGAUAUGCUUGAGUGUUAAAGAGUUUUAAUUGAAAAUGGCUCUGAAUGAAAAAUUAUCAUUUUGAGUUUUUGCAUGUUCACCAAGAUUAUUCAAUAUACUUGAGAAUUUGCUAACUGGUUUUGCAUGGUUCGUUGUCAAUAAUUUUCAGUCUCUCAGCAACUGACAAAAUAUCACAAUUUUCAGAGCACAAAAUUAUGCCACACUAUCUCAUGAAAAAUUUCAUACAAUCUUACACCAUCAUUUUGCACCAAUUUUGCCCAGCUCUAUUUGAAAGCAAGGAGCUUUUACCAUUUUCAAUUGCCAGUGCAUUUCAUAGAUCUUUAAAACAGAAUUGUAGAAUCAGCAUGAUGUUUGCAAAGCAUCAUUCUGUUCACUUUGCAAACAUGUUAUAUCUCU